rnacentral:lncRNA from 1 species
UGAGUUUGAAAAAAGAAUAUUUGUAUAAUAUGUAUAGACCAGUUAAGGAAGCAUUUUUUUAGUUGAAAAUAUGGUUACCACACUGAGAAAUUGAAAAAAUAAUCAUAUUUGUAUGUUGGUACCAAGCUUUUAUACAGAAAUUAAAAUAAACUACAUGCCUAAUAUGACCAUUCCAUAGACUGAGAAUAUACCAGGAAAGACACCAAAGCACACAUGCAAAGAGGGAAACUGCAUACAUUCAGAUUAUCACAGUGAGCAACUAAGAUUGCUUAUGGCCACCAGAAGUUCUCUAAGUGGCCGAAAAGCCCUAUGGAAGUGGCAUGUGGGCACGUCAGCAGAUCCGAGCAGCCUUCCUCACUGGCCGGUUGGUGCUACUACUGAUUUCGUCCUCCUGUUGACGAAGACAAUGAUGCAGUAGUCCAAUACAUAUGAAAGCAAGUGGUUUCAUCAUGAAGCAUAUUGACAUGGUGUGCAGAUUUGGUUUUCUGAAAUAAGGCAUGAGCAAUUAACAAAAAAAUCAUCGCAGAUGGCCAGAGAUAUGAAUGCAAACAUGUUAUAAUCACCUUCUUAAAGCAUGCAAACCAGUAAUAUAGGUAACAAACCGUGAGUUCAGUAAGAUUUUGGACACGAAAUGUUAUUUACAUAGCAGGAAAAAGCUUUUGUUGUACAAAACACAGUGUCACAAAAAUAUAUCCCAAUAAGAAGCUUGCUUAUUUUCACAUGGCCUGUUUAUAUUUCUGGUAACUAAAACAACAUGGCAUGAGCAAGAAAAUAAGAGAAUAAAGCUAUAACUAGAUUGUUCAAGAAACCUCUAUAGCUUGCAUAUACACCAAUGAAAGGUAGUAAAAAAGAAGGCACUCAGCAACCACAAUUCAGAUUAGAAGUGCACCUAACCAACGGGAUCAUGGUAUUCAACAUUGAUAUUUCUUUACAAACCAGGUUAGAACCACAUUUAACUGAAGAAAGUCAUGUUAAUGGAGCAAUAAAGCCUUUACAAACAUGGAUAUGAACCAAUGGCACAUGAGCACUCAAUCAAGCAUGAAACAAACCAGCAGGAUAUUGCGGUAUAAACUGUAUUAAAACCACAUUUUUUACAAUGAGAUCCAAAGGAAAACCCCACAAACUGGCUAGCAAUCAGAACAAAUCUAACCUUGCCUCGGCCGUGGACCAAAACAACCAAAACAUGGGGCAGCGGAGCAGUGACGACACCAUCCAUCCAUGUAUCACUGAUGACACUUGAAAACUGAAACGACCCUGAUAAACAGAGUGUCCGGGUGGUAAGGAUGAGAUAGGUUCAUUAUCAUAUUUUUCAGGUUUUAGAGCAUAUUCUAAGAUAAGAGCAUCCAUCUUGUCAUUGUUAAUUAAUGGUUAGUGUAUUUGCAAGUAAAAUUGUUGAAGCCUGAGGUGUAUAACUAUAUAGGAGAAUUUUGGUAGAUCCAGAUUGGCCGGUAUUGCAUUUGAAAUACGCUAGGUGUAGUAGUUUAAGGCACCAUCAUCAAGAUAACAUCAUUCAUGUGUUCUCUGGUCUCUUUGCCAUCAAAUUAUAUGCAUGGGUUUUCUAGUGCGUCUAUAUUUGUAUCUCAAAUGUUGAUGCUCUACCUGAUCACAACAAUUGCUUUAAUCUAAACUAAUGAUAACCUUGCAUGUCAUCUAAGGAAGAAGAGUGAAGCGGAUACGCAUAAGAAUGCCUACCAUUUACAGAUAUGUAUCAAAAACAAAAGCAUGAGUGAUAGUGAUAGGGACGCAUACAAAAGCUAUGACUCAAUCCUUGGCACAAGUUCCCGAUUUAAAUCAAGUGUUAUUUGCAUAGCAAAGGACUUUAUUUUCAUAUACAAUUAUUAUAUAUCAAUCUUUAAUGUGGCAGAACCAUAAAUCAGAACAUAACGCCAAUUAGUGUGCAUUUCAGCCACCUUCAGCAUUGUAAAUCAAGAUAAACAGUGGAGACCAAGAUAAACAAUAAGAAACGCCAAAAUACUAAUCAUCAACUUAGUGUUUUGUUAAUUGUUCUAUACCAAGCAUCAAUGGUAUUUACACUCUUAUCAUAACUGAUAAAAAAAGAUGCAUCCUUGGACAUGCUUAUUAGUUUUACGCUCAAAUAGAACUUAUUAGGCCAAUAAACCAUACAGUGUGAUCUCUUAGGUACUUAACAACCUCUCAUAGGUUAAUCAGAAACUCUUUUAUUGAUUUAGAUGUAGUAACCAAGUCAAUGUGUACCUUUUGGCAAGUUCGUGCACUAUUGCAUCAGCUUUGAGGUCCAACAAUCAAAAAAAUCCCAAGCACAUGAAUUGAGCGAACGCCUGACAGAACAAAGGAAUAGUGAGUGUUAUCUAUACAAAAACUAAGACAAUGAAGUAGGAUGGAUAAUUAUUUACAACAGAAGAAAGGGUGGAGUAUGAUAUCUCUACUCGACUCUGAAUUAGCAAAAUAAGAAGACAUGGAAAGGCACUUGAAAAACAUCAUAGCGAAGUUCUUGGGCCACAUGAAAAAACAUUCCGAUGAAAAAAAUAGAGUCCUCAAAGUGAGAAUUAAUCUAUCCAAUCUACAUGUAAGAUUACAGUUUUGAUCUACACAACUAAACCCAAAUCAAUAAUAUAAACCUAAAUGCAAAGACUUUGGAUGACAAAAAGGCGUGCAUAUCUGAACGAAAAUGGGGUUCUUCAUAACUUCAAACCACCCUUGCAUGCUUUGGUUCGAUACUCAGCCACUGGCAGGCCCAAAGAUUCUAAAAGGACAUCCAGCACCAUUUUGUAGGGGAUAUUCACCAUUGGGGGAGUAGCCUGUGGUUUAAAAUGGAUGCUAUUAAUUGGCAGAGUAUGAAAAGAAUGUAAGGCAUAGCCUAAAACGGCCUAUUUAUUUGACACCCAAAACAUAGAGUAACUGGAAUCCUAUGGUUAAACCAUGCCUGCUAGGCUGCUACAGCAUAGAAAGAAAAGAAAACACACAUAGAUCACCAAUUAGAAGGGCUCCCUGCACACCAAACAAUGGUCUGUACAAGUAAUUGCACUAAUACAAUAGAUAUCAAACUAAUGGUGUGCAUUAGGUACAGAGGUAUCCUCUUGUGAUGUUGAGAAGGGAAUGGCAAUGGUUGAAUAUCUACUGAUGAAUGGCACCACCUCCAAUCCAUGUCUUUCCAUGACAAUGAAAAGGGAACGGGAAUGCUUACAUGGUACGGGGGCAUUUGCGCUACAGAAAUCUUGCAUAGAUGUGUUUAGAGAGAGAGAGAUGAAGAGCGAUGGGGAAGCUCAUCUUGGCGCCUCCCCAAAAUCCACCUGUGGUCGCCUGUCCCCAUUACCCACGCCAGGCACCAAAUCAAGCAAAGGAACAAAAGAAUCCUCUAUAAAGAGAAAAGGAGCUCCAAGACAAAUCUAUCCCCUUCUCGACGAGGAAAGAUCUAGGUACCAAACAAACUAAGAAAGCCGACAAAAAACUUCUAGGAAUAUAGCUAGAUCCGAGAGCAUCUCCUGGGCAGUAACAAACAAAAAUCCACUUUGCAGAAACUAAGCUGAGGUACCCAACAAAUUUAAAAAGAGGACAAAAUUUCUAUAUGAAAGCCCAGCUAGAUCCGAGCAUCUGGUCAACUGAAGAAACAAAAAGAUUCCCCUUUGUAGGAACCUAGCUAGACAUGAACAUUUCCUUGACAAGAAGAGUGAAGAAUCUCACCCAAUAGAAGAACUGGAGCAUGGACCUGGCGUAAUCACCGCGCAUCCUUGGGUUCGCUGCUAGGAUGCUCGUUUUCGUCGGGGUCUCCUAUCCUCCCUCGAAAUCGAACGGUGGUUGAGCACCAUGGAAGGGUCCUUUUCAAAUUGCCACAGAAAAAGCGGUACAAAAUGGAGUCAGCUCAUAAAUACAUUUGUGGGCAGAAACAUAUAUACAUAGAUGGAACACAUAAAGAUAAGGAAUGCAUCUAUCAAGUACAUGGAACCCCAUAUCACUGCCAAACAUGAAGAAACAUUAAUAAACAAGGAGAGAAGUGAUGUACAAAGCUUCAACUUUGCCCCAUGGAGUAUCCGGCUACACAGGAACGGUAUUGGAAUUCAGAAAUUGUAUGAGAUGUACCAUACCACUAGUGAAAUGCUAGGUCACUUACAUUGCUUGGAUUUGGAUGUGCACAACAUCAUUAUGUAGAGACUUUUCCGCACAAUAUACUUAUCAGCUAAGAAUCUUAGAAAAGGGAGAUCCAAUCCCAUAACCUGGCAAAUCAUCAAACAAAAUCAGGAAGGAAAAUAUAGGAGAAAUCAAAGGAUAAUACAUUAGCUCCAGAGACAUUGACCAAACCUAGGAAAUGUGUGACUGGCAAGGAUGAAAAUACCUACAGACAUCACCAAUGCCAACCCUGGCUAUUGCAGUCGGCGCUGCAACGUAUCUUGCCAACCAAACCAACAUGUGAAACAAGAAUGAAAUUAGAUCGAAAGGGGAGGGAUGCGCGCCGCGGCAGGGGUGCAAGCAAUGAGGAAGGAGAGGUGCGGCGGCUCUGGCGACAAGGAGGAAGGAGGGAGGUGUGCUGUGGUUGUGGUGAUUCACCAUGGAAACCCACGGCGGACGAGCCCCAGCGGCGCGGCGACGGCUGGUUCGGGAGGCGAGGGAUCGAGCUCCGACCCAGCACCACCAGAUCUGACCCCAUCACCUCCUAGUUCCUUGCCUCCCCAUGAAGUGUGCGCUGCCUGGGGCCUACCCCCGUCGCUGCUCCUUCCCCAUGGAAACCCGCGGUGGACAAGCCCCAUCGGUGCGGCGGCGGCUGGUCCAGGAGCCGAGCACGCGAGCGCUAGGUGAUGUGCGCGCGCGGACGAGGAAGGAGGAGAGGAGAGAGAGGAUGGGUGGAGGGGAAACAUGGGUGGGGCAGUGGCGGCUAGAGGGAUUGGGGUGGGGUGGGUGUAGGGUUUGGGGUAGAGGAAGACAUGCGGCGCGCGAGGAUACACUCGUUCG